rnacentral:sRNA from 2 species
GUAUUUGCCAGAUGGAAGUGGGGAAAAAUCGUUUUGACCGAGUUUUUGAAAUGGACAGCUGGAAUAUGC